AAAAUAAAUUUGUACAAAACUUAUCUUUUCCGUUAAAAGGGGAAAAAAAGAUGCCAAGUUCACGCGCUACUUGGUCGAAUCGCAAAAGUGGUCGAGGAAAAAUGUUGUUAGUUGUUAUUGAUAUCUGAUAAUCGAUGAGACGCGGAACAAGUUGCUUCGUGUAUAAGAUCCAUGGAGCAGUCUCGCAGCACGAGCAUCGCUGCACGCGUGAACUUGGCGUGAAACACUACCUUGAUGUGUCUCUUGAUACACCCAUUACUUUUUUUAAUAUGCAUAAAUUCGCGUAAAAUUAAAAGUUGAAUUGUGAGUGGAAUAUAAUUGAGGUCACACGAGAUGCAAAGCAAUAGGAUUUUACUAUUAGAUUACGAUGUUUAGAAAAUUACACAAACGUCUGAGAACGAUAAUUAUUUGCAUGUACAACCAUGUAUGGUAGGACAGACUUUACGACUGAAUCGAAGGCCGCGAGAUCAAGAACCUCGAUGAUAUGGUCCACGCAUUGCAUCUUCUGGGAGUGUGAGAGCGUGUCCGGAAGCCGCAAUCUUGCCUGGUACUGCAAAAUGUAAAUCAUCAACUUGAGCCACAAAGCUGUAAAAAAUUUAAUACCUGAAGGACCCAUGACGGCCAAUAAUUCACCCGGUUUGACGACUCCUGAAACAUCUCGUAAGAGUG